AAAGGGCAGUUCUCACCUUAGGUGUGUUAUCUUUAGCAUAUGGUGGCCAACAUUAGCCAGAAAAUCCUUAUCACCAAACUCUGAAGCAMAGCUUCCUCCUACCAUUUCAUUGACUUAGCAUCCAAACAUUGACAAACAUGCACCAAAGACUACUAUGGUACAUGAAUCACCAGCACAUCACACACUUAAUACAUAUCAUCAUGGCCAACAUAUCACCACAUACAAUGUAUACACCAGAAACAGAGUCCACAAGGAUAUAGUACACCACUUAAUAUGCACUACACAAAUUAUUCAAAACACCAGUUYCACAAGCAUGCUAGAAGAAUCACUCACACCCUCACUCAGCUCAACACCACCAUUACAAGUCCGGCUGACUAAUGGCUAUAGGAGUGAAUGGGAGUCAUUCAGGCAAACCAUCACCAUGGAGAUGGAGAAGCUGAAGGCAGAAGUAGAGAAUUUGAAGCAAGAAGUGAAAUCUUGCGAAGAGCAAUGAAAGAAAAGGUUUUACUCUUGAAGCCGGAGGAGAGUAUUGGUGUCCCUUCUCACAAGCACCAUGAUUACCACACUCCUAGACGACCCCACCAUGACAAGUUCCUUGUUAGAGUUUCUUCUUCAAAUACAAAGUGGCUUACCACAGGGCUAACUUAGAACUCGUUUGUUGGCGCUCUCAAAGAGCAUUGUGAUGRCUUCCAACUCCAAGGAAGGAAAAAGGAAACUAAGGAGUGUUUAACAGCAAAAACUGACAACACUAUGACAUGUACCAUGGUUUUUGYAUUCCACAACCAAGCGCAAGUGGCGGACGUGCGAAAGAAAACACCCGGCCUUGUCAAAAAAGCGAAAGGGUACAAAAUUCUUAAAAGGCUUCUGGGAGAGAAACGUGUUUCUUUGAUUGAAUGUAGUAAGAAACAUUCCUUUCGAAUUGGUUAAGAGAAGAGGCUAAAGGUCAAUGAUAGAGAUGAGGAUGGUGUACUUUACUUUUCGUGAAGGAAGAUGUAGAGGAGGUGGACAUGUUACUCUCCAACGGAACUUUCCAGAUAACACUGAUACCGAAACUCAACCAAAAAACACAGGGUUAUUGAUGAACGUUCUCUUCCAUCGAAAUUAAGAUACCAACUUAUGUCUCCGGGAAAGAAGUAGACAUUUACAAAGCUAACGUUUACGCAAGUUCACGAUCAUCCCACUAUAGCUAACUUUUAAACGUGAAAAAGAAAGGGUGAACUGGCAGCCAUACGUCUAGCAAACGGGGAAUCCUUGGGGCAACAGUAAGUGUUGKGUCAGAAGACAGAAGGUUUGCACAAAAUAAACAAUAAU